rnacentral:rRNA from 1 species
AGUUUGAUCCUGGCUCAGGACGAAMGCUGGCGGCGUGCUUAACACAUGCAAGUCGAACGCUGAAGCCCAGCUUGCUGGGUGGAUGAGUGGCGAACGGGUGAGUAACACGUGAGUAACCUGCCCCCUUCUUUGGGAUAACGCCCGGAAACGGGUGCUAAUACUGGAUAUUCACUGAUCUUCGCAUGGGGGUUGGUGGAAAGGUUUUUUCUGGUGGGGGAUGGGCUCGCGGCCUAUCAGCUUGUUGGUGGGGUGAUGGCCUACCAAGGCUUUGACGGGUAGCCGGCCUGAGAGGGUGACCGGUCACAUUGGGACUGAGAUACGGCCCAGACUCCUACGGGAGGCAGCAGUGGGGAAUAUUGCACAAUGGGCGAAAGCCUGAUGCAGCGACGCCGCGUGAGGGAUGACGGCCUUCGGGUUGUAAACCUCUUUCGCUCAUGGUCAAGCCGCAGCUUUGGGUUGUGGUGAGGGUAGUGGGUAAAGAAGCGCCGGCUAACUACGUGCCAGCAGCCGCGGUAAUAC